UACGUAGGGUGCAAGCGUUAAUCGGAAUUACUGGGCGUAAAGCGUGCGCAGGCGGUUAUGUAAGACAGAAUGUGAAAUGCCCGGGCUUAACCUGGGAACUGCAUUUGUGGCUGCAUGGCUAGAGUUUGGCAGAGGGGGGUAGAAUUCCACGUGUAGCAGUGAAAUGCGUAGAUAUGUGGAGGAACACCGAUGGCGAAGGCAGCCCCCUGGGUCAAGACUGACGCUCAUGCACGAAAGCGUGGGGAGCAAACGAAGG
rnacentral:rRNA from 1 species